GACGAACGCUGGCGGCGUGCUUAACACAUGCAAGUCGAACGGUGAAGCGCCUUCCUUUUUGGUGGGUGUGGAUGAGUGGCGAACGGGUGAGUAACACGUGAGUAACCUGCCCCCUUCUUCUGGAUAACCGCAUGAAAGUGUGGCUAAUACGGGAUAUUCUGGGUCUGUCGCAUGAUGGGUCUGGGAAAGAUAUUGUUUCGGUGGGGGAUGGGCUCGCGGCCUAUCAGCUUGUUGGUGGGGUGAUGGCCUACCAAGGCGGUGACGGGUAGCCGGCAUGAGAGGGUGGACGGUCACACUGGGACUGAGACACGGCCCAGACUCCUACGGGAGGCAGCAGUGGGGAAUAUUGCACAAUGGGCGCAAGCCUGAUGCAGCGACGCCGCGGGAGGGAUGGAGGCCUUCGGGUUGUGAACCUCUUUCGCCAGUGAAGCAGGCCUGCCUCGUUUGUGGGUGGGUUGACGGUAGCUGGAUAAGAAGCGCCGGCUAACUACGUG
rnacentral:rRNA from 1 species